GAGGACAUAGGCGAGACCAAUCUAGGAGAAACUCCAAACAUUCAGAUUGGAGACGAAGAUAACAUUAACGAGCAUGGAAUUUAUUUCAUACCCACUUCAUUUACUCCAUGCUCAUAUGCAACAUCUUCCCAAUCUAUUAGUCUCUCCAACAUCACCACAUUUGAGAUCUCCAACCCCCUCUUCCUUUCUAAUUAUAAAAACUUUAAAAGGGCGGUUGUCGAUGCAU
rnacentral:lncRNA from 1 species